GGGCCAGUAGGUUGGUCGUGCCACCGGUACGUACUGGUCUCACUGGUUCCUCCUUCCUGAAGAACCGUAAUGCCAUUAAUUUGGUGUUGCGGGGAAACAGGACUGUUACUUUGAAAAAAUUAGAGUGUUUAAAGCAAGCUAACGCUUGAAUACAUUAGCAUGGAAUAAUGAAAUAGGACGAUCGAUCCUAUUUUGUUGGUUUCUAGGAUUGACGUA
rnacentral:rRNA from 1 species